rnacentral:rRNA from 1 species
UACGGAGGGUGCAAGCGUUAUCCGGAUUUACUGGGUUUAAAGGGUGCGUAGGUGGGUUGGUAAGUCAGUGGUGAAAUCUUCGAGCUUAACUCGGAAACUGCCGUUGAUACUAUCAAUCUUGAAUUAUCUGGAGGUAAGCGGAAUAUGUCAUGUAGCGGUGAAAUGCUUAGAUAUGACAUAGAACACCCAUUGCGAAGGCAGCUUACUACGGAUAUAUUGACACUGAGGCACGAAAGCGUGGGGAUCAAACAGG